rnacentral:rRNA from 1 species
UACGGGGGGGGCAAGCGUUGUUCGGAAUUACUGGGCGUAAAGGGCUCGUAGGCGGCCAACUAAGUCGGAUGUGAAAUCCCCAAGCUUAACUUGGGAACUGCAUCCGAUACUGGAUGGCUUGAAUCCGGGAGAGGGAUGCAGAAUUCCAGGUGUAGCGGUGAAAUGCGUAGAUAUCUGGAGGAAUACCGAUGGCGAAGGCAGGUCUCUGGGCCACUACUGACGCUGAGAAGCGAAAGCAUGGGGAGCGAACAGG